rnacentral:rRNA from 1 species
GAUGAACGCUGGCGGCGUGCCUAAUACAUGCAAGUCGAGCGAACGGACGAGAAGCUUGCUUCUCUGAUGUUAGCGGCGGACGGGUGAGUAACACGUGGAUAACCUACCUAUAAGGCUGGGAUAACUUCGGGAAACCGGAGCUAAUACCGGAUAAUAUUUUGAACCGCAUGGUUCAAAAGUGAAAGACGGUCUUGCUGUCACUUAUAGAUGGAUCCGCGCUGCAUUAGCUAGUUGGUAAGGUAACGGCUUACCAAGGCAACGAUGCAUAGCCGACCUGAGAGGGUGAUCGGCCACACUGGAACUGAGACACGGUCCAGACUCCUACGGGAGGCAGCAGUAGGGAAUCUUCCGCAAUGGGCGAAAGCCUGACGGAGCAACGCCGCGUGAGUGAUGAAGGUCUUCGGAUCGUAAAACUCUGUUAUUAGGGAAGAACAUAUGUGUAAGUAACUGUGCACAUCCUGACGGUACCUAAUCAGAAAGCCACGGCUAACUACGUG